UGCCAGCCGCCGCGGUAAUACGGAGGGUGCAAGCGUUAAUCGGAAUUACUGGGCGUAAAGCGCGCGUAGGCGGAUGUUUAAGUUUCAUGUGAAAGCCCUGGGCUCAACCUGGGAACUGCAUGGAAUACUGGACAUCUAGAAUACAGUAGAGGGAGGUGGAAUUUCAGGUGUAGCGGUGAAAUGCGUAGAGAUCUGAAGGAACAUCAGUGGCGAAGGCGGCUUUCUGGACCGAUACUGACGCUGAGACGCGAAAGCGUGGGGAGCGAACAGGAUUAGAUA
rnacentral:rRNA from 1 species